GGCCCAUUCGGCUAGGGGUUAGGCCGGGUGAUUCUCAAUCACCAAACGGGGGUUCGAGUCCCCCAUGGGCCA
rnacentral:tRNA from 1 species